rnacentral:lncRNA from 1 species
UCCGCCGUUACACUCUCCCCUCACUUCUCAAAUUCUCUCUGCUAAAACCUAAAGCUCUCACUGGCCGUUGACUUACCAGUAAAUAUGGUGGUCUCACCACCAUCCCAAUCCCCAUGGCUCCUUCCUACAUUGGGUUACUGCUGCUUUGAGGUCCUCAAAGGAACUGGAGGAAGUGCAAGUCACCUCUCAUAGUUUCUAUGUCAUUCUCAUGCCUUCCAUUACCAUUCGAGUAUGAUUCUACCAUCUCAAGCUAGAACCUGUUGUUUCUAGGCCGGAAUCUCUCAAUCUCUGGGUUCUCUCUUUGGAACCCUGAUUUUGACUCUUGAUUUCUAAGAUCUGUAACUUGAUUUGUGUCUAUUUGAGUUAUCUUUACUAUUUUCUUAAGGAUUUCUACGACUUCUUCUAAAACGGCUCUUCGUCUUCAAAGUAGGGUUUCUUAACCCCUCUUAAAAACGGAUUUUCCUUCUAAUUUUAGCAAUUUUCUAUGAUUUUUUGCCAUGUUUAAAUAUUUAUUUUAGUUUUCUCUUUCUAUCAGAGUUAUCAUGUUAAAACACUAAGUUUUUUGGUUUUAAUCCUGGAUUCUUAGUUUGUUUUGUGAUAAUAUGUUCGCUUAAUCUGUAUAUGUGCUUGUUUCUCAUGAGCCUUAUGAUUCUAUGUGGUUUUACCCUAUUUUUUUCAUCAGUGUCUCUGACUUUUACUUCUUCCACCUAUGUCAUGUUUAUUAUAUUAAUUCAUGCUAUGCUCUAUAUGAAUCCCUAAUUUUAUGUGAUAUACCCUAUUUGGCUUAUUAGGGUUUAUGAUUCUUGCCUAUUAUGUGUUUAUUCCGUUUGUUCUCAUAAAUUUGUGUCAAUUUAUCCUAAAUCAACACUAUUUGCUAUUUUGAAUUUUUGAAUCUUUGUGUCACAACCCCAGUUCACCUUCCGUGAACUGUCGUGAUGGCACAUAGUCUUACGACUAGGUAAGCCUAACAAGUGCGAAAAUUAAAUCGAAACAUGCAGAAAUAUAUAAUUCUAAAACUAAGAAUAACUAAAACGAAUGGUGUCUAGUAUGCGCUCGGCAUAUAAACAACAAUAUCUCAAAACUUCUACAUCACUAUCCCAAAACCCGGAAACUACGAGAACACAAGCUAGAAGGAAUACAUUUGCUCAAAUCUCCAGAAUGUCUACAUCAACACUAUAAUAGAAGGACUAACACUACAAGAUAGAAUGAAGAUGGAGACUCUUUGGCCUGCGGACGCGGCAAAAGUACCUCGAAGUCUCCAAAAGCUCUUCCUGCCUCAAUUAUGAUAAGCAUGUGCGGAAGUACCUGAAUCUGCACAUGAAAAACAUGCACAAAAAUGGCAUGAGUACCCCACAGCGGCACUCAGUAAGUGCUAAGUCUAACCUCAUUCGGGUGGUGAUGAGGAAGGUCAGGGCCCUACUGAGAUCAAAUAAAAUAUAAGACUUAACAGUGUAGAUUAAACAAUAUAAUAAGCACAGUGAUGGAAUAAGACAUGUUGUACAAGGUAACAAUAGAUAUACAACGAAUAGAGUAACCACGGAAAAUAAGUGCAGCCCAACAUCAAUAGUAACAACGAGGAUCUCCUAGGAUACCGUCCUGUAGUCUCUUCCAUCAACUGUCCAGUGGAUCUCCCGGGAUACCGUCCCGUAGUACAGUUAUUAAUGCGCGGGGAUCUACCAAAUAUCUCGAUUCUUAGUCUCUAAAUAUAAAUACCCAAUACUAGGGGAAUCUACCGGGUGCAUUCCCAUUAUUCCAUAUAGCUGUGCAGGGGCAUCAUCGGGAAUCUGACAGCAGUCCCAAUGUAAAAGUGCAGGGGGAAUCUAUCAGGAAUCUAACCCACAGACCCAAAGUAAAUGUGCAGCAGGGAUCUAUUGGGAAUUUAACCCGCAAUCCCAAAGUAUACAGGUCAGGGGGAGCUACCAGAACCCCACAACCGUAGUCCUAAUGUAAAUACACAUCAACAACAAGAAAAUAUUCAGAGAAGGGAAAUUUCAUAGUAAGGCAACAAAUAAUUCUAGCCUAGCAUGCUGCACAGAGUUUAGGUAAACAGAUUGAACAAUUAAGGCAAUUAAAUCACUUAAACAUGCUUCCUAAGCUAACACAUGCCUAAAUAAUACAAGUAGUAAAAGCAGGAUAAGGAACAUACUAAAGAGUGCUUUAAGAAAAUCGAAUUUCCAACAAUCUUCAGAAGGAUGCACUCGCCACCUCACGUACAGGAAAUUACAAUUACCAAAUAUAUCCAUCUUAAGGGGAAGGUCCCCCACACAAGGUUAGACAAUCCACUUACCUCAAACCGGCUCAAAAAUCAACUCGAAACCACACUUUUGCCAUGAGUAUCUGACUCCAAAUGACCUAAAUCUAUUCAAUUCAAUUGCAUAUUUUAAAUAACAUUUCAAGAAACUAAUUCUACAAUUAAAUUUUAAGCUAAUACGCAAAAUCAUAUAAAAUGACCAAAACACCCCACAUGCGAACGUCUCGAAAUCAGGUGAAAUUAACAUUUUCAGAAACCUCAUUCUCUCACGAGUGUAAUCACUCAAAAAUCUCCCAAAUCGGAUGUCAAAAACCCAAUCAAUACUCAAUUUCUAGGUCUAAGAACGUUUCCCCAAUUUUCAUUCAAAAUCCGAAAUUAAAGGAGGAAUUCAUGCUUAGAUUAAUGGUUUACAAGCAAAAGGGAGUUAAGAAUCAUUACCAACAACCUUCCUCCAAAAAUCUCUCCAAAAUUCGUCUCCUACUGAUCUCCCAUUAAAUUUUGUGAUAUGAACUCAAAACCCUCGUUUUGAACUUAAACAUUCUGCCCUGCUAUUCCUUAAUUGCGAUCGCGACAUUAGCCUCGUGAUCGCGAAAUAUAAAAUUGACUACCCCUUGAUUGACUCUAAGGGAUCGCACAUGCUCCACGCGAACAAGAAGCUAUAACACUCAAACUCACGCGAUCGCAACAAUAACUACAUGAUUAUGAAUCUAUACCACAUAGACUCAUGCGAUCGCAAUCCUACUCACGAGGUCACAUAGAACAACUCGGCCCUUUCCCCCAAUAAGCCUAUGCUAUCGGGGCCCCUUAUACGCGAUCGCAAAGAACAAAAUGUCUGCAACAGACCUGAAGCAAAAUCUGCAACUUUACCAACUUGAAAUGAUCCGUUUAACCACCCGAAACACACCCGGGGCCCCCGGGACCCAAGCCAAAUGCACCAACAUAUCCUAACACCUUUUUUGAACUUGUACCAAUCCAUAAACGACCUAAAACAACAUUAGAAACUCUAAUUAAUCAAGGAUUUAAGCCUAAGAACUCCCAAUUUCCUCAAAAUAUGCUUUCGAUAAGAAUCCAACCAAACCACAUCCGAAUGACCUUAAACUUUUCAUGCACAUUUCAAAUGGCAUAACAAAACUACUACAACUCUUGGAAUUCCAUUCCGACCCUCGAAUAAAAAUCUCACUAUCAAACCAGAAACUUACAAAAAUUCAACCUUUGGCAUUUCAGCCUAAAUUAGCUACAGACCUCCAAAACAUAAUCUGAAUAUGUUCCUAACCCUAAACUCACCUAACGAAGCUAACAGAACCAUUUGAUUUCCAUUCAGAGGCGUAUUCACACUGUUCUGACUAUGGUCAAUUUUUCCAACAUUUAAGCUCUCAUUUAGGGAUUAAUGUCUCAAAACUCUACGAACUCAAAACCGAACAUCUUGAGAAAUCAAAUUAGCAUAAAUAAACUUGGAGAAAGCAGUAAAUAAGGGAUCAUGGCAUUAAUUCUUAAGACGAUCGGUCAGGUCGCCACAUCCUCCUACACUUAUACAUUUGUUCGUCCUCGAACGAGUAUAGAGACAUACCUGAAGUAGUGAAAAGAUGAGGGUAACAGCUGCACAUGUCUUGCUCGGUCUCCCAGGUCACCUCCUCAACCGGCUGACCCUUCCACUGAACCUUUACUGAAGCUAUGUUCUUUCACUUCAACUUUCUGACCCGCCUGUCCAAUAUAGCAACUGGCUCCUCAACAUAAGAUAGAUCCUUGUCCAACUGGACUGAGCUGAAAUCCAAUGCGUGCGACAAAUCACCGUGAUACCUCUGGAUCAUCGAAACAUGAAAUACCGAGUGGACUCCUGCUAGGCUGGGAGGUAAGGCAAGCUCAUGAGCAACCUCCUCAACUCGCCGCAAUAUCUCAAAAGGGCCAAUAACCUCGGGCUUAUUUUUCUAUUUAUUUCCACAUCUCAUAAUCCCUUUCAUAGGCGAAACCUGAAGCAGAACUCGCUCUCCAACCAUUAGGAAACAUCACGAACCUUCCGGUACACAUAGCUCAUCUGUCUGGACUAGGCUAUACGGAUCCUAUCCUGAAUCACCUUAACCUUCUCUAAAGCAUCCUAAACCAAAUUUGUGCCCAAUAGCCUAACCUUACCCAACUCGAACAAACUCACCGGAGGUCUACACCGUCUACCAUACAAAGCCUCAUACGGUGCCAUCUAAAUGCUGGACGGAUAACUGUUAUUGUAAGAAAACUCUGCCAAUGGAAAGAACUGAUCCCAAGAACCCCCAAAACCCAUCACACACGCAGGGAACAUAUCCUCAGUAUCUGAAUAGUGCGCGGACUGCCUGUCCGUCUGAGGGUGAAAUGUCGUGCUCAAUUCCACCUCAGUGCCUAAUUCCUCCUGUAGGGCUUUCCAAAACCGCGAUGUGAACUGAGUAUCUCUGUCUGAAAUGAUAGAAAUUGGGAUACCAUGUAGACGGACAAUCUCCCAGAUGUAAAUCUUUGUAACCACUCCGAAGAAUAAGUGGUACAUAAGGAAUGACAUGAGCGGACUUGGUUAGCCGAUCCAUAAUAACCCAAAUGGCAUCAAACCUCUUUAAAUUCCAUGGGAGUCUAGAUACAAAGUCCAUAGCUUCCACUUCCUCUCCGGAAUCUCUAUCAGCUGAAGCAAUCCACCCGACCUCUAGUGCUCAUACUUCACAUGCUGACAGUUGAGGCACCAAGCUACAAACCUAACUAAGGCUUUCUUCAUCCGCCUCCACCAAUAGUGCUAGCUCAAGUCCUGAUACAUUUUUACGGCACCCGGAUGAAUGGAAUACUGCGAACUGUAGGCCUCCUCUAGAAUGACCUCUUUAAGUAAACAUUUGGUACAUAAACCCGACCCUGCAUCCUCAAUACUCUGUCCUCGCCAAUGGUCAUAUCUAUGGCAUUACCAUGUUGAACCUUGUCCUUAAGGACAAGCAAAUAAGGGUUAUCAUACUGUUGCUCCCUGAUACGAUCAAACAAUGAAUACCGAGAAACCACGCAAGCUAGAACCCAAUUGGGCUUCCAAAGAUCCGAUAUCACAAACUGGCUUGCUUAGGGCUGAACAUCUAUCGCCAUAGGCCUCUCCGAUGCUUGUAAAUAUGCCAAACUCCCCAAACUUUCUGCCCGACUACUCAAGACGUCAGCCACUACAUUGGCCUUGCUUGAGUGAUAUAAAAUAUUGAUGUCAUAUUCCUUCAGCAACUCUAACCACCUCCGCUGGCGUAAAUUUAGAUCCUUUUGUUGAACAAAUGCUGUAAGCUCCGGUGGUCACUAUAAAUCUCACAAGGCACACCGAAAAGAUAAUGGCGCCAAAUCUUCAGGACGUGAACAAUACAGCUAGCUCAAAAUCAUGGACAAGAUAAUUCUUCUCAUGUAUCUUUAGCUGUCUGGACGCGUAGUUAAUCACCCAACUGUCCUGCAUCAACACUGCUCCAAGGCCAACUCUCGAGGCAUCAAAAUAGACAAUAUAAGACCCCAAACUAGUAGGAAAUAUCAAAACUGGGGCUGUAGUCAAAGUUGGCUGGAGCUUCUGAAAGCUCGCCUCACACUUCUUUGUCUGCUAAAAUGGAGCACCCUUCUGGGUCUAUCUGGUCAUAUGGGCUGGAAUCAAUGAAAACCCCUCCACAGAACGAUGGUAGUAGCCUGCCAAACCAAGGAAACUAUGAAUAUCUAUAGUUGAGGAUGGUCUGGACCAACUCUGCACGGCCUCUACCUUCUUCAAAUCCAUUCAAAUACCCUCACUUGAUACUACGUGGCCUAAGAAUGCCACGGAAUCAAACCAAAACUCACAUUUUGAAAACUUUGCUUAUAAUUUAUUUUCCCUCAAAGUCUGCAACACUGUCCUUAGAUGCUGCUCAUGAUCUUCCCGACUUUGGGAACUCACUAGAAUGUCAUAAAUAAAGACAAUGACAAAAGAGAAAAUAUAUGGCCGGAAUACACUGUGCAUCAAAUGCAUAACAGCUGCUGGGGCAUUGGUCAGCCCAAAUGACAUAAAAAGAAACUCGUAAUGAGCGUACCGAAUCCGGAAAGCACUUUUCAGGAUAUCUGGCUCCCGAAUCUUCAACUAAUUGAAACUUGAGCGCAAAUCAAUCUUUGAAAACACCCGUGCGCCUUGAAUCUUGUCAAAUAGAUCAUCAAUAUGAGAUAAAUGAUAACGGUUCUUCAAGAUAUCCUCGUUCAACUGGCGAUAAUCAAUACACAAAACCAUAGAACUAUCCCUUUUCUUCACAAACUAGACAGGAGCAUCCUAAGGUGAAAUACUGGGCUGAAUAAAACUUUUAUCAAGAUAUUCAUGCAACUGAUCGUUCAACUCCUUCAACUCAAAAGAAGCCAUUCGAUACGGAGGAAUAGAAAUAGGCUGAGUGCCCGACAACAAAUCAAUGCUAAAAUCAAUGUCUCUAUCAGGCGGCAUAUCCGGAAGGUCGGCUGGAAACACAUCGGAGAAAUCCCACACUACAGGAAUAGAAUAAACAGAAAGGGUAUCAAUACUGACAUCUCCCACAUAAUCUAGAUACGCGUCACACCCCUUCUCAAGAAUACGCUGAGCCUAGAGGAAAGAAAUAACUCUACUGGGAGUAUGAUCUAAGGCAAUUCUCUACUCAACACGCAGUACACCUGGCAUAGCUAGUGUCACAAUUUUGGCGUGAUAAUCAAGAAUAGCAUAAUGGUGAAACAACAUGUCCAUGCCCAAGAUAAUAUUGAAAUCCACCAUGCUGAGUAACAACAGAUCGGCACUGGUCUCAAAACCAUGGAGAGUAACAAAACACGAUCGAUAAACGUAGUCCACAACAAGUGAAUCUCCUACAAGAGUAGAAAAAUAAAUAGGGGAUCUCAAAGAAUCCCGAGGUACACCCAAAUGCAGAGCAAAAUAAAAAGACACACAAGAGUAAGUAGAGCCUGGAUCGAAUAAAACCGAUGCAUCUCAGUGGCAAACCAAUAUAAUACCUGUGAUGAUAGAAUCGAAGGAAACAACCUCGGUAUGGGCAGGCAUGGCAUAGUAUCUAACUUGGACUCCCACUCUAGGGCGAACUCUACCUCCCCGACCUCACCUCUAGCUGGCUGAGAAGGCGGGGUAGCGACUGGAGCCGAAACCAUGGCCUAAGAACUCUACAAGGCACGCUGUGGCUAGGAAGUCUGUGGAGGUGCACCCAUCUCAAGUCUAGGAGAAUCCCUCACCAUAUGGAAUAUGUCACCACACUCAAAACAAGAUUUGGGAGGACAUGGUCGCUGUGACUAGCUAGGGUCAAAUCUGCUGGACUAACCUUUGAAAGAACCUCACGCAGGAGGCGCGCUAGAAAUCGGAGGUGCAUAAUAAGGCUUCUAAGGCCAAGGAGGAGCUGGAUCACUACUGGCUGCUGGAAGAGCUAAAUGAACAUGAUGAAUCAUGUAACCCCUACCAUGAUGACCAGUAUCUCGGGUACGGGCAACAGAAUAAUGGCUCGACUCUCGAUACCUCUUGGCCAAUCUCUCCCAUAUUUCCUUAGCAUGCAUAAACUCAAUCCUCCUAGCAAUGCUCACCACCUGCUGAUAAAAAAUAUCCAUCUGCAACUCAGGAUCCAUGCUAGAUCUGAUGUUGGGAGUAAGCCCCUCAAUAAACCGGCGAACCCUCUCGCAAAUACUAGCAAUCAAGGAUGGUGCAUGAAUAGCGAAACUGGUGUAAUAGACAUCAUACUCUGAAACAGUCCUAACACCCUAGCGCAAUUGCUCAAACUCUGUGCACCAUGUGUCCCUAAGGCUCUGAGGAACAUACUCUCUCAGGAGCAGAUAUGAAAACUGAGCCCUAGUUAGUAAAGUAGUCUCAUCUGGACUAUCUAACUCAUAGGUGCGCCACAACUCAUUAGCGGCCCCUCGAGGUUGAAAGGUAGAGAAAGAAACCUUGGUAGAUCCUGAAAUACCCAUGGUACAUAUAAUGCAGUAACACUCAUCAAGAAAUCCCAUAGCAUCCUCUGAUGUUAGACCACUGAAUAUAGGAGGCUUGUACUUCUUGAACUUCUCAAAACUCAGCUGCUCAUCCUCGGAAGCCGCUGUCCUAUCCUCGGGUUGAACAGGCGCUGUAAGUGGUACUGGAAUAAUCUCGAGGACUUUCUCAACAAGCACUUUCUGCUCAAGAGUGCGGCAGGUGGGGGUCUGUGCUCCUCUCCCGGCCUAGGAUGUGGCUGUAGAAAGGGGGAGCAACCCUUCCUAAGUCAAAGUGGUGUACAUGCUCAUGAACUAUGCCAGAGUCUCCUGAAGAGUUGGAGUAGUGGUAGCAGUAGUAGUAGGCAUGUAAGGUGCCCGGACUCAGGCUGGAUCUGCUCGUGGUACCUCGGCGGUAGCUCAUGCAGGUGCUAGAGCUGCACCAAGUCUGAGUCCUCGACCUCUGACCCGACCUUGGCCUCUGGCGGCUACAGUAGGGGCACGGGUGCCUGAUCCUUUUGGGUAGCACGUGUCCUCACCAUUUGUGAGAGAAUAGAAAUACAGAUGUUUAGUUGUGAUAUCAAACUCUCAUGACAGGAAAUGAAAUGAAGUAGAAUUUUCUUAUCAAUUACAUAGCCUCUCUAGAUAAGUACAGAUAUCUCUGUACCGAUCAGAGAGACUCUAAUAAACCAGCAUGUGUUCUUGACUCCGAUAAAACUAGAGCUCUGAUACCAACUUGUCACGACCCCGGUUCGCCCUCCGUGAACUGUCGUGAUGACACCUAGUAUUACGACUAGGUAAGUCUAACAAGUGCAGAAAUAAAAUCGAAACUUGCAGAAUUAAAUAAAUGUAUAACUAAGAAUAACUAAAAGGAAUGGUUUAUAAUAUGCCGCUUAGCAUAUACAACACAAUAUCUCAAAUUUCUACACCACUAUCCCAAAACCCAGGAACUCACGAGAACACAAGCUAGAAGGAAUACAUUAAAGUGCUCAAUCUCCAGAAUUUCUACAUCAACGGUACGAUAGAAGGGCUAACACUACAAGACAGAAUAAAGAUGGAGACUCUUCGGUCUAUGGAUGUCGCAGAAGUACCUCGAAGUUUCCAAUGCUCUCUUUGUCUCAAGGAUGAUAAGCCUGUGCAAAAGUACCUAAAUCUGCACAUGAAAAUCAUACGCAGAAAGGGCAUGAGUACACCACAACGGUAUUUAGUAAGUGCCAAGACUAAACUCGGUCGGGUGGUUAGGAGGAAGGUCAGGGCCCUACUGAGAUAAAAUAAAAUAUAUGAUUUAACAGUGUAGAGUAAACAAUAUAAUGAGUACAUCGAUGGAGUAAGACAAGUUAUACAAGUUAACAACAAAUAUAUAAUGAACAAAGUAACCACUGAAAAGAAGAGCAGCCCAACACAAAUAGUAACAACGAGGAUGUCCUAGGAUACCGUCCUGUAGUCCCUUUUAUCAACUAUCCAGUGGAUCUCCUAGAAUGCCAUCCUGUAUUUCAAUUAUUAAUACGGGGAACUACUAGGAAUAUUGAUCCGUAUUCCCUAAAUAUAAAUAUCCAGUACUACGGGAAUCUACCGGGUGCAUUCCCAUAGUUCUAUUUAACUGUGCAGGGAGUCUAUGGGAAAUCUAACCCACAGUCCCAAAGUAAAAGUGUAGGGAUGAUCUUUCGGGAAUCGAACCCACAGUCCCAAAGUAAAUGUGCAGGAGGAUCUAUCGGGAAUCUAACUCGCAGUCAUAAAUUAAAAAGACAAGGGGGAGCUACCGGAAUCCUACAUCCGUAGUCCCAACGUAAACACACAACACCAACACGAAAAUAUUUAGAGAAGGAAAAUUUCAUAUUAAGGCAGCAAAUAAUUCUAGCCUAGCAUGCUGCAUAGAGUUUAGGUAAAUAGAUUGAACAAUUAAGGCAACAAAAUCAAUUAGACAUGCUUUCCUAAGCUAACACAGGCUUAAAUAGUACAAGUAAUAAAAGCAGGAUAAGGAACAUACUAAUAAGUGCUUAAAGAAAACCAAAUUUCUAACAAUUUCACAAGUACGCACUAUUCAUCUCACGUACAAGGCAUUACAAUUACCAAAUAUAUCCAUCUUAAGGGGAAGGUCCCUCACACAAGGUUAGACAAGCCACUUACCUCAAAGCGACUCAAAAAUAAACUCGAAACCACACUUUUCCCACAAGUAUCAAACUCCAAAUGACCCAAAUCUAUUCAAUUCAAUUGCAUAUUGUAAAUAACACUUCAAGAAACUGAUUCUACCAUUAAACUCUAAGCUAAUACACAAAAUCAUGUAAAAUGACCAAUAUUCCCUUAGGCCAACAUUUCAGAAUCAGGUGAAAUUAACAAUUUCAGAAACCUCGUACUCUCACGAGUCUAGUCAUACAAAAAUCUCUGAAAUUGUAUGUCAAAAACCCAAUCAAAAACUCAAUUUCUAGGUCUAAGAACUUUUUCCCAACUUUCAUUCAAAAUCCAAAAUUAAAGGAGGAAUUCAUGCUUAGAUUAAUGGGCUACAAGAAAAAGGAGUUAAGAAUCGUUACCAGCAAACUUCCUUCGAAAACCUCUCAAAACUUUGUCUCCUACCGAGCUCCCAAUUAAAUUUUGUGAGAUGAACUCAAAUUCGAUUUUGAACUUAAACAUUCUUCCAGUUAUUCCUUAAUCGCAAUCGUGACUUUAGCCUCGUGAUCGUGAAGCAUAAAAUAGACUGCCCCUUGAUUGAUCCUACGCGAUUGCGACACAACCCACAUGAUCACGAAGCUAUAAGACUUAAACUCACGUGAUCGCAACAAUGGCGAUGCGAUCACAAAUCUUACCACAGACUCACACGUCACAAUCCUACUCACGCGGUCGCCUAGAACAACUCAGCCCCUUCCCCCAAUAAGCCUACGUGAUCAUGGCCCCUUAUGCGCGAUCGCAAAGAACAAAAUAUUUGAAACAGACCUGAAGCAAAAUUUGCAACAUUUUCCAACUUGAAAUGAUCCGUUUAACCACCCGAAACACACCCAGAGGACCCCGGGACCCCAUCCAAGUGCAUCAACAUAUCUAAAAACCUUAUUCAAACAUGUACCAAUCCUUAAACCACCUAAAACAACUUUGAAAACUCUAAUUAAUCAAGGAUUUAAGCCUAAGAACUCUAAAUUUCCGUAAAUACGCUUUCGAUCAAAAACCCAACCAAACUAUAUCUGAAUGGCUUGAAACUUUGCACGCAUAUCCCAAAUGGUAUAACAGAACUACUUCAACUCACAAAAAUCCAUUCCGACCCUCAGAUAAAAAUCUUACUAUUGAACUAAAAAUUUCCAAAAAUUCAACUUUCGGCAUUUCAAGCCUAAGUUAGCUACAAACCUCCAAAACAUAGUCCGAACAUGUUCCCAACCCAAAAUCACCUAACAAAGCUAGCAGAAACAUCAGAUUUCUAUUUCGAGGCCGCCUUCAUACUAUUCCGACUAUAGUCAAUUUUCCAACACUUAAACUCUCAUUUUGGGAGUAAGUGUCCCAAAACUCUCCGAACUCAAAACCAAACAUUCCAGUAAAUCAAAUUUGCAUAAAUAAACUUGGGGAAAGUUGCAAAUAGGGGAUUAAGGCAUUAAUUCUUAAGACGACCGGCUCGGUCAUCACACUCUGUGACUGAUCCUUCACUGAUUUUUGUGAUUUUCUUUAUUGAUUUUAACCUUUAAGAUGUUUUCUUACCUUAAUCUACGGUCGGACAUGUUGUCACCAGAUUCUUAAGUAUUUUCCUUGAUUAGAGUCUACUAAACCUAGUCUCUAUUACAUGUUGUGUACUUAUACAAUGCUGAAAAUAUUUCCUUAUUUAUUAUAUUCAUACUUAUGUGAUUUCCUUCCUCAUUUAGUAUUUUCCUGUUACCGUUUAAAUUUAACUCCUUAAUUAAUGGAAGUACUUAUUCUGAUUUGAUUCUAAUUAGUACAUAGUUCCAUGAUUACUUGUGAUGACAGAAAGGGGUCAUCACCUAUUUACUUACUCAUUCGAUGCUUAUGAGGACUUGAAACCUCAUUUAGGGUUGCCUCAAUUUGCGUGCGAUGUCCUGGCCUGUAGCCGGAAAUGCCUAAAUAUGAAUUAUAUGAGAAAAAUGAUAAAAUUUGAUAUUAUAUUGAAUAAAUUUGAUUUCAGUCGACGUUUUUGGUAUAUGGAUGCGGACCCGUGAUUUGUCCGCUCCUGAGGGUCCGCAGAAAAAUAUAGGACUUGUGCGUAUGCCCGGAGUUGAAUUCCAAGGUCCCAAGCCCGGAAAUUAAUUUUUGGGUAAAAUUAUUUUCUGAAAAGUUUUUAAGGAAAAUGGAGAUGAAAUUUGAUUAAAACACUAAGUUAUCAUGCUCGUAUUUUGGUUUCAGUGUACGAUCAAGUCUUAUAUAUGGUUUAAGGGCUUUCUGUAAAGUUUAGUUUAAAACGGACGUCAUUUGACGUGUUUCAGACUUAAAUUAGAAAUUUGAUGUUUUAGGAGAAUUUUGAAGAAAUCAUUAGUUUUGUGGCUUGAUUCAAUGUUCAUGAUGUUAUUUUGGCGAUUUGAUUGCGCGAGUAAGUUUGUAGGAUUUUUUGAGGUUUUGUGUAUGUUUAGUUUUGAGCCCUGAGGGCUCGGGCGAGUUUUGGAUAGGCCACGAGAGCAUUUUUGGAAGUUGAAUCACAGCUGAUGCACUUCUAACCUGCAGGCUUCGCAAAUGCGAAUGGCCUCUCGCAAUUGCGAAGAUAGCCCAGGUCCACCCAUUCUCUCAAAUGCGAGACUGCACUUCGCAAAUGCGAAGGAAUAUUAUUUCUACUGUGUUCGCAAAUGCGACCAAGGGCUCGCAAAUGUGAAGGCACAGUGUUCGCAAAUGCGACAACGAGUUCGCAAACGUAAAGUCCUCCCUUUUGGCCCUAGUUCGCAAAUACGAACUAUGGUUCGCAAUUCCCACAUUUGGUCGGGGUUCGCAAUUGCAAACUCUAGUUCGCAAUUCCCAUAUCUGCAGCCCAGCAAUUUUAUACUAAGUCGAAUUUUUACCGUUUUUCACAAUAUUUUCAAACCCCAAACUUCAUAGGCAAUUUUUUAAGAUCAAGUUUCAUUCCAAAUCAUUUCUAAGACAAUUUUUACUCAAUUCUUUCAAUCAUUAACAUCAUCCAAUAUGUUUUCAACCUAAAAACAAGGAUUUUCGUAGGUAAAAUUAUGGUUUUUGGGUAAAACCUUGGUCUUCCUAAAAUUUGGGAUUUGGGCCCCAAUUUUAGGUCUGAUUUCAAAACAAAUUAGAUAUUUGGAGUCGUGGUGGAAUGUGUAACUGGAUUUUUGUUCGAACCUCGGGUCUUGACCACGUGUGCCCGGGGGCGUUUUUGGACGUUUUGGGCAAAACUUUAGGAAAUUCAUUUCUAUGCAUUGAAAUUGAGUUAAUUAGCAUUUGUUGAUGUAAUUAAGUAAUUUUUGACUAGGUUCGAGCGAAAUUGUGGUGGAAUCGAGGGGUAAAGCUAUAAUCGAGGCUUGAGGUGAGUAAUGAUAAUAAAUAAUAUCUUGAGGGUUUGAAACCCCGGAUUUGCACAACGUAGUGCUAUAUUGAGGUGAAACACGCGCUUAAUGAUGAGCGUGGGGUUGUUAACGAUUGGGGAUUGUAACUUGUUCCAUACUGAUUAAUAUUUUUGCUGCGUAUUUGAUUGAGACAUGUUUGUUAUCAACAUGAUUUUGGUUUAUUGCCCUAUUUUGGGAUUCAUGCUGAUUUGCUUGAAUCCUUUGUGGACUUUUAUCACCGUUUCCUCACUAUUUUGAUAUAUUACUUGAUCUCAGUCCUAUUGAUUAAUACCGUUUUACAAAAUCAGCCACCUUUAAUUGAAUUUUGAGAUUUAUAUGAUAUUUUCAUUGUUGUUUGGGCUGGGCACUGCUGUUUUCUGAUGCCCAAGGGGCUUGUGAUGAUUUCUGAACUGAGUUAGGCCGAGGGCCAUAUAUGAGGAUAUGCUGAGUGAUAUGAUAUGCUUUAUUUGCUACGUGGUGGCUUGAGUGAUGGGAGGCCGAGCUAUGUGAGGCCGACUGCCGAGUGAUGAUGCCACGAGAUGACUUGAUAUAGUGCUUGGGCCGUAAGGGGCACUUCCAGAGUCUGCACACCCACAGUGAGCGCGCAUACACAUAUGAUCAGAUAUGGAGCCCGAGGGGCUGAUACUAUGAUGAGUGACUGAGAGCGAGCCCGAGGGGCUGAUACUAUUGCAAGUGAAUAAUAGUGAGCCCGCGGGGCUGAUACUAUGAUGAGAGAUUGAUAGUGGAAUCGAGGGGCAGAUUACUACUCACUAUUUACUUGUUGUUUUACCUGAUUACCUUUUUUAAAAGGAGAGUUCAUUUGAUUCAUUACGGUUUUGCUGCUUUAAGUGAUUUACUGCCUGGUAUAGAAUUGCCUUGUGCAUUUAUGUGUUUCCAUGCUUUCAUCCGUUAUUUAUUGUUAUGACUCACUAGGUCGGAGUACUCACAUUACUCUUGCACCAUGUGUGCAGAUGCAGGCAUAGCAGAGUCCGCACGUGGGCGCUGAUUCCCAUCCAAACCAAGUAGCAAUUUGGAGUUUCGAGGUAGCUAUUGAUAUCUGCUGCCCCUUGUCUCCCCUAUCCCCUACCAUUUACGUAUUCUUCAGACUAUUGUAUUAGAUUUUAUACUUUGUAGACUUAUAGCAGACUCUAUA